rnacentral:lncRNA from 1 species
CCCAUUUCCCCCAUAAUUCUUUUCUUCUUCCUCUCUCUUCUCUCUCUCUUCACUCUCUCUAGCCGCCGCCGAAAAUCGCCCACCGGCGGCGGACCACCUCCAAACACCCCCAAAUUCACACCAUGUAAUAUCCACAACCUCCUCUUUCCAUAUUUCCAAACCAAGUCUUUCAAAACCCUCUCAAACUCCUUAAAUUUUAGAUCUAGGAAACUUUAGCCACCACUUUUUUGCCAAAAUUCUUGAAGCUCCGGCCACUACCACCCCCACAAUACCUACAUCAACAGAUAGAGCUCCUCAAGACCUACCUAUUGAUGAUAAUUUCGCCCCAAAAAUUCGGCGACCAAAAAUCCGGCCAAAUUCCGGUGACCUCCCCGAAUGCCCUCUUUGGCAUACCACCAUUGUUUCGGCCACUUGAAUUAUGAAAUGGUAAAAAUACUUAUUCUUUUUCUUUCUUUCUUUUCAUGGCUCUUUUUUUAUUAUUAUUGUUUUUUCAUAUUGUAUUUGUCUCCUAUUAAUUAUUCUAGCAUUAGUUUUUAAAAUUUGAAAUGCUAAAUUUUCUGUUUUUGGCACUUGUUGAAGUAGUAGAAUAGUUUUGUAUUGAUAAAAGUGAGGUAGUGAAGGAAUACUUGAAAGUAUAGUGUACUUGCUUGAUUUCUUAUUUACUGCUUCAGAGAUGUUUUGAGUACAAAACUCAAAAAUCAUUUGUUUGGAAAGAAAAUAUGGACUUUUGGACAGUUUUUGAACAAAAGUCUCUCUUUGAAUAUUGAAGAGCAGAUUUUGGUUGAAAUACUCUCUUUUGGACAAGAUUGAAUAAGAAAGUCUUUCCCUUUGAAUUUUAGAGCAGAUUUUGUAGAAAAAUCUGUCAAAAAGACUAUUUUUUAAUCAUGAAUGCCUGGUUUCUUCUCUUAUAAAAGACACACACUCUAUGCCUGACAAGAGUGGGUUACUCUAGUGGUGAGCACCCUCCACUUCCAACCAACAGGUUGUAAGUUCGAGUCACCCCAAGAGCAAGGUGGGGAGUUCUUGGAGGGAGAGAGCCGAGAGUCUAUCGGAAACAGCCUCUCUACCCCAGGGUAGGGGUAAGGUCUGCAUACACACUACCCUCCCUAAACCCCACUAGUGAGAUUAUACUGGGUUGUUGUUGUUGUUGUUGUUGUUGUAACUCUAUCACUUAGAAAAAAAGAUCUUGAGAGUUGCUUGAACACACAUAUCUUUGAACAAAAAAUCAGCAACUGAAUACUUUAGUAAGCUGAAAAUUCCUGCGCCUUGUGAGUGAAUCUUAAAGUGCAAACUUUUAGAAAAGUAGAAGUCUUCUUUAGAGUUAGUUAUGUGUUUCUUCUCUAAAGUUUUUGGGUUGUUUAAACACAAUUUGCUGCUGGAUUUAUGCUAAUUUUGUUGUUGUUCUCGGUUGCUUUCUGUUGUUGAGCUCUUAUUCUUCACUGCUAUAUUUAUUUUCUGCGACCCAGGUAACCUUUAAACUCUAUAAUGCAGAUUUUUAAUAGCAAUUGAUGAGAAUUUGAGCAUGUUUAGAUUACUUGAAGCAUAUGCAAGAAAAUUUACUAUUUGGAUGAAUGUUGAGGUUUCAAUCUUGAAAUCAAGCUUUGGAUCAUAAUGUUAAAUCCAUGACUUUUUUUGUUUUAUUUAUUUAUUUAUUUAUUGCCUCUUAGCAUUUCUCUGUUAACCUUUAAGUAGUAUUUUAUGAGAAUCUUAAUCAUGUUGUAGAAAAAGAAAAAUUGUUAAAGACUUGAUGAAGAGUUUGAAAGUGGG